rnacentral:rRNA from 1 species
AGUGAACGCUGGCGGUAGGCCUAACACAUGCAAGUCGAACGGCAGCACAGUAAGAGCUUGCUCUUACGGGUGGCGAGUGGCGGACGGGUGAGGAAUACAUCGGAAUCUACUUUUUCGUGGGGGAUAACGUAGGGAAACUUACGCUAAUACCGCAUACGACCUACGGGUGAAAGCAGGGGAUCUUCGGACCUUGCGUGAUUGAAUGAGCCGAUGUCGGAUUAGCUAGUUGGCGGGGUAAAGGCCCACCAAGGCGACGAUCCGUAGCUGGUCUGAGAGGAUGAUCAGCCACACUGGAACUGAGACACGGUCCAGACUCCUACGGGAGGCAGCAGUGGGGAAUAUUGGACAAUGGGCGCAAGCCUGAUCCAGCCAUGCCGCGUGGGUGAAGAAGGCCUUCGGGUUGUAAAGCCCUUUUGUUGGGAAAGAAAAGCAGCAGGUUAAUACCCCGCUGUUCUGACGGUACCCAAAGAAUAAGCACCGGCUAACUUCGUG